rnacentral:misc_RNA from 1 species
UCCGAGUUGACCCCGGCAGUCUCCCAUGAGUCCCCGGCAUAACCCGCUGGCAACAUAGGACGAGGGUUGCGCUCGUUGCGGGACUUAACCCAACAUCUCACGACACGAGCUGACGACAACCAUGCACCACCUGUGCACGGCCCUUACGGACCCCCCAUCUCUGGAAGAUUUCCGUGCAUGUCAAGCCUAGGUAAGGUUCUUCGCGUUGCAUCGAAUUAAGCCACAUGCUCCGCUGCUUGUGCGGGCCCCCGUCAAUUCCUUUGAGUUUUAGCCUUGCGGCCGUACUCCCCAGGCGGGGAACUUAAUGCGUUAGCUACGGCACCGCAGGGGUCAAAGCCCGCGACACCUAGCACCCAUCGUUUACGGCGUGGACUAC